GAUUCUCAAAGAGAAAACGCGAGAUUUUCGCUUAAAUGGGGGUUUUGCGAAGGGAAAACUUGUGAUUUUCGCUUAAAUGUGGGAUUUCUGAAGAGAAAACUCGUGUUUUUUCGGAUUAAAUGGAGGAUUUGCAAAGAGAAAACGCGUGAUUUUCGCUUAAAUGGGGGAUUUGAGAAAACACAUGAUUUUCGGGUUCAAUGGGGGAUUCUCGAAGAGAAAACGCAUGAUUUUCUGGUUAAAUGGGGGAUUUGCGAAGAGAAAACGCUUGAUUUUCGGGUUAAAUGGGGGGUUAUUGAAGAGAAAAGACGUGUUUUCCACGUAAAUGGGGGAUUUGCGAAGAGAAAACGCAUCAUUUUCAGGUUAAAUGGGGGAUUCUCGAAGAGAAAACGUGUGGUUUUCGGGUUAAAUGUUGGAUUCUCGAAGAGAAAACGCAUGGUUUUCGGGUUAAAUGGGGGAUUUGUGAAGAGAAGAGUCGUGAUUUUCGCUUAAAUGGGGGAUUCGCGAAAAGAAAACGCGUGAUUUUCGCUUAAAUGGGGGACUUG
ensembl:lncRNA